GAUCACUAAACGACGCGAGUUAUUGAAGAGUUGCAGCCGAAGAAGUUGGACGUGUCGGGUCUUUAUAAAAGUGAAGUUGGCAUACAAAUAUAAAAUUAAACUUGAUCGCGCUAUCAAAAAAUCAUGUGAAGUUUCUUUAAAUAUGUAAAUAAGUGUGUAUGUUGGCAGCAACAUUCAAUGCCAAAAAGUACAUUUUUCGCGGCAUGUCUUUUCUUUAAACUGUAUUCGGAAAUACAUAUGUAUGUACAUAUGUACAAUUGAUUCCGCUUUUUCAACACGGCACGACGCUUGCCAUUUCAUAAUUGCAGCCAAAGAAGUAGGACGUGUCGUAUCUUUUUUAAAGUGAAAAUAGCCUAAAAAUUAAUAUGUGCAUAUGUGUGUAUAAAAGUUAAAUUAAAAUUAUCAAAAAUAUUUUACUCGUACUGCGUUUUCCUAGAAUACAACAAAUUAGCGCGCGCCGUUACACGCAUACAUAUACAUACAUAUGCACGUAGAAUGUAUUAAUUAUUAAUUGGAUUAAAAUUUUCGGUUCUCAGAAACGUAUGAACAUACAAUCAAGUGCAGCUACACACACAUACAUAUACCACACAGUGCGUUUACCGUUGCUUGGUCGCCAACAAAGUUGAGCGUCCCAGUCGUAAGUUGCGGAACGUGUUUUAAAAAAACAUAGUUCUGGGUCGUACCUUUUUUACGCAAAACAGCACGGAUGCCAAUUUUUCAAGGCAAAUGUGCGUGCUGGGUGCAUUCUAUUGCGGUGCCUUCUAGAAGUGUUUCAGAAUAAUGCAUCCAGAAGCAUGCCCAAACACCCGUUUCGGGAACGUAUUCCGAAAGAAAUAGUUCUGGGUCGUAUCUUUUUUACGCAAAGCAACACGCGUGCAAAUUUAACUAGCAACUGUGCGUGCUGGGGGCAGUCUUUUGGGAAUGUAAAAAACCAAACUCAAACCCGAAGGUUGCCGAUGCCCAUUUUUUUACAAUCGUCUUUUUUCGGAACUGUUCUCUUGACAAACAAAUAAUAAAGACAAAAGGGAACAUGCAAGGAGGAGAGCGGUUUUUCUUGCCUCUUGCAUUUUUCGUCAGUUGCAUUUUUAGUUCUGAAAAGUAAAGUUCGCGCCACGUGUUUUGAAAAAGUUUGUUGCUUUCUGCCACCAAUUUUACAUCAAUAUUUUCACAGAAUCGCAAAAAAUAAAUGGGCACACCAAGGACUGAACUGCGUAAAUGACAAAAGUACAUAAACAAGAAGGAAGCACCAAAGCACCGUACAGCAGGGGAGUUACUCCGAUUAAAAAUUAGUUGCGUUCUUGAAUAUUGAAAUGAAAAUAAAUAUGAAAUUGAAAUCCAGUUUUAUGUAUUCCUGGGGAAAACUUCCAGAUAUUUGGUUUUUGAAUGCUUCUAGGUGCAUUCCUGGGUACAUGUUACAGGUGCAUUAAAAAAGAGUACACCCAGAAGGUGUUUAGUAUGUUGCUUCCAGGUGCAUUAAAAACGAGUGCACCCAGAAUGUGUUUAGUUUGUUACUUCCAGGUGCAUUCCAGAUAUAUGCUUCCAGAAGCAUGCAACGGGUGCAUUCUUUUUUGUCCCGCACCCGUGUAAAAAGAAUGGACAGACUCAUCCCUUCCGGAACACCUUUUUGAUGCCAUUUCAUAAUGAAAGAACGCAUGCUGGAAUGCUGUCAUUUACGACUGGGCGUGCCCUAGCGAACACACACAUGUACAUUUUCUGCAACACAUCUACCCAUACACAGCGUGCGUUUACCGUUCCUGGCAAAGUAAUAGUGGCAAACAAAUACAUUCUCGAACCAACAUACAUAUAUGCCAAAUAUACAAAUUCCAGAACGAAGCAUAUAAAACUGGAUAAAAUAUUGGAGGUUCCUGUUGAGAAUAAAACCCAUACUCGGCGUAAGGAUGUGAAAACUUUCGAUGGAGCUGAGCUUUGAAAGCAUGGCCAAAAUAUGCUGACUCGCGGGCUCCGGAAUUGGUCCAAAUCUUUAACCAUUCAUAUUUUGAUUGAUCUCUUUAAAACGAAAUCUAUAAUUUUCUUUUUUAUCUUACUAUUUAUUUCGCAGAUAACUUACAAAACUAAUUAGUGUUUAGCUAUUAAGAUUGGUAAUACUCUAAGAUUGUUUAAAGUACUUUCUUUCGUUUAUGAAUUGACAACUGUGUAUGUAGCGUGUAAUGCUAUAGAAGUUAAAACAUGCAACCAUUUGCAGGCAUAUGUAUACGGAAUAAUUAAAAAUUAGUUCUUAAAAAACAUUGAAGAGUUUUCAAGCCAUCCAAUGCACAUGUAUGUAUGUAUGAUGUAAAUGCUAGAAAAAAUAUGUUUUAUACAGAUCUCUGUAAAAUAAAUAUAAGUGUAACUGUAUUAUUUGUACCUUCCAGCAAGCCGUAAUGAAGAAUAAAUGUUUAAA